rnacentral:rRNA from 1 species
AUUGAACGCUGGCGGCAUGCCUUACACAUGCAAGUCGAACGGCAGCAUGGGUGCUUGCACCUGAUGGCGAGUGGCGAACGGGUGAGUAAUGCAUCGGAACGUGCCCUGAAGUGGAGGAUAACGUAGCGAAAGUUACGCUAAUACCGCAUAUUCUGUGAGCAGGAAAGAGGGGGAUCGCAAGACCUCUUGCUUUAGGAGCGGCCGAUGUCGGAUUAGCUAGUUGGUGGGGUAAAGGCCUACCAAGGCGACGAUCCGUAGCGGGUCUGAGAGGAUGAUCCGCCACACUGGGACUGAGACACGGCCCAGACUCCCACGGGAGGCAGCAGUGGGGAAUUUUGGACAAUGGGCGCAAGCCUGAUCCAGCCAUGCCGCGUGAGUGAAAAAGGCCUUCGGGUUGUAAAGCUCUUUCGGUGGGGAAGAAAUUGCUUCGGCUAAUAUCCGGAGUAGAUGACGGUACCCGCAUAAGAAGCACCGGCUAACUACGUGCCAGCCGCCGCAGUAA